UAGAAAUAGUUGAAGGGGGAGUGGGACAGAAUUCUUUUUAAAUUCGUCGUCCCACUCCCAACUUGCUUUGCUUGUAGAAUUUCUUAGUGAAAUUCUCUUUGUUGGGGCCCCGCCCACAAGGAUGACUAGUACUGGAAAAAGCUUGAUUUAAGCGCCUUUUCAGUUCAGUCAGCUACUGCGAAUUUGCAAAAUAGUAUCAUCAUAUUAUUUA
rfam:Staphylococcus haemolyticus JCSC1435 DNA, complete genome.